rnacentral:rRNA from 1 species
GACAGAGGGUGCAAACGUUGCUCGGAAUUACUGGGCGUAAAGCGCGUGUAGGCGGACUUGCAAGUCAGAUGUGAAAUCCCCGAGCUCAACUCGGGAACUGCAUUUGAAACUGCCUGUCUUGAGUAGUGGAGAGGAAAGCAGAAUUCCUGGUGUAGAGGUGAAAUUCGUAGAUAUCAGGAGGAACACCGGUGGCGAAGGCGGCUUUCUGGACACUUACUGACGCUGAGACGCGAAAGCGUGGGGAGCAAACAGG